AACGAACGCUGGCGGCAUGCCUAACACAUGCAAGUCGAACGAGACCUUCGGGUCUAGUGGCGCACGGGUGCGUAACGCGUGGGAACCUGCCCUUAGGUUCGGAAUAACUCCCCGAAAGGGGUGCUAAUACCGGAUAAUGUCUUCGGCCCAAAGAUUUAUCGCCUUUGGAUGGGCCCGCGUUGGAUUAGCUAGUUGGUAGGGUAAAAGCCUACCAAGGCGACGAUCCAUAGCUGGUCUGAGAGGAUGAUCAGCCCCACUGGGACUGAGACACGGCCCAGACUCCUACGGGAGGCAGCAGUGGGGAAUAUUGGACAAUGGGCGAAAGCCUGAUCCGGCAAUGCCGCGUGAGUGAUGAAGGCCUUAGGGUUGUAAAGCUCUUUUACCCGGGAUGAUAAUGACAGUACCGGGAGAAUAAGCUCCGGCUAACUCCGUG
rnacentral:rRNA from 1 species